rnacentral:lncRNA from 1 species
UUAGCAUCAAACAUCCGAUAUGACGGGUGCUAAAGUUUAGCAGGACAUCCAAACAAACAGCCUAGGACGUCCGACGACCUAGGACUAUCCAGGUACGUCCGACGACAUACUGACAAAGAUCGAGUGCCAUACGGAGGCAUAUUCUACUGUAGUACUGUACGUAUGUCUGAGAAAUGUUGCCGUCACAUUUUUCAGAAAGAAAAAUAAAAUUGUCGCCGUCAGAGAGAGAAGAAGGCCAUCCAAAGACUUCUACUUUCGCAUGCGUGCAGCCCCUCCGAAUGUCGCUCCGAGUUCCUUGCACGAUACGAGUUCGUCGUUCACUUUGCCGGCCUCGCGCCGUCCAUGCAGAAUCAUCUCCAGACUCCAGCGCGCGGUUGGUGAAACUCCACUACUUUGUUCAUUCCUUGUCUAGGCUAUAGCACGGAUCAUAACGGCGCUAGAUCUUCUCCAACGCGUCUUCCCCGGAUUCGACGACUUUGUUCUUCCAUGACGUGAAUAACCCGCCUCCAGCCCGGUUCAGGCGGCAAAGAAUAUAAUGGCGCUUCGCCGGA